UGGGGAAUAUUGGACAAUGGGCGCAAGCCUGAUCCAGCCAUGCCGCGUGAGUGAAGAAGGCCCUAGGGUUGUAAAGCUCUUUCACCCGCGAAGAUGAUGACGGUAGCGGGAGAAGAAGCCCCGGCUAACUCCGUGCGAGCAGCCGCGGUAAUACGGAGGGGGCGAGCGUUGUUCGGAAUUACUGGGCGUAAAGGGCGCGUAGGCGGGACGUCAAGUCAGGGGUGAAAGGCCUGGGCUCAACCUGGGAACUGCCUUUGAAACUGACGACCUUGAGUCCGGGAGAGGAUGGCAGAAUUCCCAGUGUAGAGGUGAAAUUCGUAGAUAUUGGGAAGAACACCGGUUGCGAAGGCGGCCAUCUGGCCCGGUACUGACGCUGAGGCGCGAAAGCGUGGGGAGCAAACAGGAUUAGAUACCCCCGUAGUCC
rnacentral:rRNA from 1 species